rnacentral:rRNA from 1 species
AAUGAACGCUGGCGGCAUGCCUAACACAUGCAAGUCGAACGAAGGCUUCGGCCUUAGUGGCGCACGGGUGCGUAACGCGUGGGAAUCUGCCCUCAGGUUCGGAAUAACAGCGAGAAAUUGCUGCUAAUACCGGAUGAUAUCACGAGAUCAAAGAUUUAUCGCCUGAGGAUGAGCCCGCGUAGGAUUAGCUAGUUGGUGUGGUAAAGGCGCACCAAGGCGACGAUCCUUAGCUGGUCUGAGAGGAUGAUCAGCCACACUGGGACUGAGACACGGCCCAGUCUCCUACGGGAGGCAGCAGUGGGGAAUAUUGGACAAUGGGCGAAAGCCUGAUCCAGCAAUGCCGCGUGAGUGAUGAAGGCCUUAGGGUUGUAAAGCUCUUUUACCCGGGAUGAUAAUGACAGUACCGGGAGAAUAAGCUCCGGCUAACUCCGUGCCAGCCGCCGCGGUAA